rnacentral:rRNA from 1 species
UUUUAUGGAGAGUUUGAUCCUGGCUCAGGAUGAACGCUGGCGGCGUGCCUAAUACAUGCAAGUCGAGCGAACGGACGAGAAGCUUGCUUCUCUGAUGUUAGCGGCGGACGGGUGAGUAACACGUGGAUAACCUACCUAUAAGACUGGGAUAACUUCGGGAAACCGGAGCUAAUACCGGAUAAUAUUUUGAACCGCAUGGUUCAAAAGUGAAAGACGGUCUUGCUGUCACUUAUAGAUGGAUCCGCGCUGCAUUAGCUAGUUGGUAAGGUAACGGCUUACCAAGGCAACGAUGCAUAGCCGACCUGAGAGGGUGAUCGGCCACACUGGAACUGAGACACGGUCCAGACUCCUACGGGAGGCAGCAGUAGGGAAUCUUCCGCAAUGGGCGAAAGCCUGACGGAGCAACGCCGCGUGAGUGAUGAAGGUCUUCGGAUCGUAAAACUCUGUUAUUAGGGAAGAACAUAUGUAUAAGUAACUGUGCACAUCUUGACGGUACCUAAUCAGAAAGCCACGGCUAACUACGUGCCAGCAGCCGCGGUAAUACGUAGGUGGCAAGCGUUAUCCGGAAUUAUUGGGCGUAAAGCGCGCGUAGGCGGUUUUUUAAGUCUGAUGUGAAAGCCCACGGCUCAACCGUGGAGGGUCAUUGGAAACUGGAAAACUUGAGUGCAGAAGAGGAAAGUGGAAUUCCAUGUGUAGCGGUGAAAUGCGCAGAGAUAUGGAGGAACACCAGUGGCGAAGGCGACUUUCUGGUCUGUAACUGACGCUGAUGUGCGAAAGCGUGGGGAUCAAACAGGAUUAGAUACCCUGGUAGUCCACGCCGUAAACGAUGAGUGCUAAGUGUUAGGGGGUUUCCGCCCCUUAGUGCUGCAGCUAACGCAUUAAGCACUCCGCCUGGGGAGUACGACCGCAAGGUUGAAACUCAAAGGAAUUGACGGGGACCCGCACAAGCGGUGGAGCAUGUGGUUUAAUUCGAAGCAACGCGAAGAACCUUACCAAAUCUUGACAUCCUUUGACAACUCUAGAGAUAGAGCCUUCCCCUUCGGGGGACAAAGUGACAGGUGGUGCAUGGUUGUCGUCAGCUCGUGUCGUGAGAUGUUGGGUUAAGUCCCGCAACGAGCGCAACCCUUAAGCUUAGUUGCCAUCAUUAAGUUGGGCACUCUAAGUUGACUGCCGGUGACAAACCGGAGGAAGGUGGGGAUGACGUCAAAUCAUCAUGCCCCUUAUGAUUUGGGCUACACACGUGCUACAAUGGACAAUACAAAGGGCAGCGAAACCGCGAGGUCAAGCAAAUCCCAUAAAGUUGUUCUCAGUUCGGAUUGUAGUCUGCAACUCGACUACAUGAAGCUGGAAUCGCUAGUAAUCGUAGAUCAGCAUGCUACGGUGAAUACGUUCCCGGGUCUUGUACACACCGCCCGUCACACCACGAGAGUUUGUAACACCCGAAGCCGGUGGAGUAACCUUUUAGGAGCUAGCCGUCGAAGGUGGGACAAAUGAUUGGGGUGAAGUCGUAACAAGGUAGCCGUAUCGGAAGGUGCGGCUGGAUCACCUCCUUUCUAA